rnacentral:tRNA from 1 species
CAGAGAGGUGGAUGAGUGGUUUAAGUCGCACGCCUGGAAAGCGUGUAUACGUGAAUAGCGUAUCGAGGGUUCGAAUCCCUUCCUCUCUGCCAG